AGUGGAAUUGCUGGGUCAUGUGGUAAAUCCAUUUAAAUGUUUGAGGAACUUCCAACUGUCUUCCAAAGUGGCUGAACCAUUUUAUAUUCCCACCAGAAGU
rnacentral:pre_miRNA from 1 species